rnacentral:rRNA from 1 species
GUUAUCCGGAAUUAUUGGGCGUAAAGCGUCCGCAGGCGGCCUGACAAGUCUGCUGUUAAAGCGUGGAGCUUAACUCCAUUUCAGCAGUGGAAACUGUCAGGCUUGAGUGUGGUAGGGGCAGAGGGAAUUCCGGUGUAGCGGUGAAAUGCGUAGAUAUCGGGAAGAACACCAGUGGCGAAAGCGCUCUGCUGGGCCAUAACUGACGCUCAUGGACGAAAGCCAGGGGAGCGAAAGGGAUUAGAUACCCCUGUAGUCCUGGCCGUAAACGAUGAACACUAGGUGUCGGGGGAAUCGACCCCCUCGGUGUCGUAGCCAACGCGUUAAGUGUUCCGCCUGGGGAGUACGCACGCAAGUGUGAAACUCAAAGGAAUUGACGGGGGCCCGCACAAGCGGUGGAGCAUGUGGUUUAAUUCGAAGCAACGCGCAGAACCUUACCAACCCUUGACAUCCUCGGACCGCCAGAGAGAUCUGGUUUUCUCGCAAGAGACCGAGUGACAGGUGCUGCAUGGCU